CCUGGUCUCCUCCUGGUCUUCACCUCCUCCUCCUGGUCUCCUCCUCCUCCUCCUGUUCUCCUCCUCCUGGUCUCCACCUCCUCCUGUUCUUCACCACCUCCUCCUCCUGGUCUUCACCUCCUCCUCCUGGUCUUCACCACCUCCUUCUCCUGGUCUUCACCCCCUCCUCCUCCUGAUCUCCUCCUCCUGGUCUUCACCACCUCCUCCUCCUGGUCUUCACCUCCUCCUCCUCCUGGUCUCCUCCUGGUCUUCACCUCCUCCUCCUCCUGGUCUCCUACUCCUCCUCCUGGUCUUCACCACCUCCUGCUCCUGGUCUUCACCACCUCCUCCUCCUGGUCUUCACCUCCUCCUCCUGGUCUCCUCCUGGUCUUCACCUCCUCCUCCUGGUCUCCUACUCCUCCUCCUGGUCUUCACCUCCUCCUCCUCCUCCUGGUCUCUUCCUCCUCCGCCUGGUCUCCUCCUCCUCUGCCUGGUCUCCUCCUCCUCUAGGUCUUCACCUCCUCCUCCUCUAGGUCUUCACCUCCUCUAGGUCUUCACCUCCUCCUCCUCUAGGUCUUCACCACUUAGAACACAAACAGAUUGUAGAGAGAGAGAGACAGCGAGUAAUCCAGCUACUCACUUACCCACCCAUCCCCCCAACCAACCAACCAACCAACCAACCAACCCACCAGAACACUAGUGAAACCGUGUCUAGUGUCCGUCCAAGUGUGACUGACAGGGUCCUCCUGACCAGGUAUGGAACCGUGUGUUACAUCUUCUCUGCUGUUAUGUUCCACUCAAAACCAUGACCCGCGUUUAGCAGUAAAAAACAUGACCCACGUUUAGCAGUAAAACCAUGACCCGCGUUUAGCAGUAAAAAACAAAACCAUGACCCACGUUUAGCAGUAAAAACCAUGACCCACGUUUAGCAGUAAAACCAUGACCCGCGUUUAGCAGUAAAAAACAAAACCAUGACCCACGUUUAGCAUUAAACAACCAUGACCCACGUUUAGCAGUAAAAACAUGACCCGUGUUUAGCAGUAAAAACCAUGACCCACGUUUAGUAGUAAAAAACCAUGACCCGCGUUGAGCAGUAAAAAAACAUGACCCGUGUUUAGCAGUAAAAACCAAAACCAUGACCCACAUUUAGCAGUAAACAACCAUGACCCACGUUUAGCAGUAAACAACCAUGACCCACGUUUAGCAGUUAAACAACCAUGACCCACGUUUAGCAGUAAACAACCAUGACCCGCGUUUAGCAGUAAAAACCAUGACCCACAUUUAGCAGUAAACAACCAUGACCCACGUUUAGCAGUAAAAACCAUGACCCGUGUUUAGCAGUAAAACAACCAUGACCCGUGUUUAGCAGUAAAAAACAAAAACAUGACCCUUGUUUAGCAGUAAAAAAACAUGCCCCACGUUUAGCAGUAAAACAACAUGCCCCGCGUUUAGCAGUAAAACAACAUGCCCCGCGUUUAGCAGUAAAAACAACAUGCCCCGCGUUUAGCAGUAAAAACAACAUGCCCCGCGUUUAGCAGUAAAAACAACAUGCCCCGCGUUUAGCAGUAAAAACAACAUGCCCCGCGUUUAGCAGUAAAAACAACAUGCCCCGCGUUUAGCAGUAAAACAACAUGCCCCGCGUUUAGCAGUAAAAACAACAUGCCCCGCGUUUAGCAGUGAAAACAAACAUGCCCCGUUUAGCAGUAAAAACAACAUGCCCCGCGUUUAGCAGUAAAAACAAACAUGCCCCGCGUUUAGCAGUAAAAACAAACAUGCCCCGCGUUUAGCAGUAAAAGUCGUAUUCCUUCAUGGGUUAUUUGAUUUAGUUGUCCUUUAUUUUGUUUCAGACAUAAAUACUGAACGUGAAUCCGGUGUGUUUAGAGACAAACUUUAGAAAGCACAGACCCUGCAGGACACACACACACACUCAGUCCUGUCCUGCUGGGUUCAAAUCCUUCCCUCUGACUCUGGAAUCCCAAAAUGACUACCGGGGGGAAGACGUUCAACCGUCCUUAGUGGUGUGUGUGUACACAUUCCUGGGGGGACAAGUGGCAGGUCUGAGAAAUGACUACCACGUAUAUCAACAAAUUGGCGAGGGCACCUAGAACAGUCUGCAGCACCCUACUAGAAUCUGAAGUCAAACGUCUACUGUUUGCUGAUGAUCUGGUCCCUCUGUCACCAACCAAGGAGGGCCUACAGCAGCACCUAGAUCUUCUGCACAGAUUCUGUCAGACCUGGGCCCUGAC
ensembl:lncRNA